UCCCCCAGGUCCUAUCUUACCUUGGUCUUGGGGUGUUUCAGUUAUCUACCAUCAUACAGCAGACCACCCCAAAGUGUAGCUGCCAAAAACAACAUUUGGUUAUCUCAUUUCUGCGGGUGGGGCAGAGGCUCAGCUGGGUGGUCCUUCUUCUGGUCUCAACUGGGGUCUCUCAGGAAGCUACACAGAUGAUAACAAGGGCUGAAGCAUUUCAGUGAGUUCCCUCACAUGUCUAGGGGGCAGGGAUGGCUGGAAGACGGGGACCUCUCUCUCACAUGGAGACAUGUCGUUUCCACGUGGCUACUUGGGCUUCUCCAAAGAUGGCUGGACCCCAAGAGGGAUCCGAAGAGCACACAUC